AUGGCUGCUGCACCCAAUUCCCAAUUCUCCAUUCUCCUGCCAGUUAAUGGCUACACCCACGACACAGUCAUCUCUCAUCACGAUAUGUCCCAUGGCGAUGUUGCAAUAGGACCUGAUUUGGCUUCUGUGGACUUGUCUGCUGGGGAUCUCCCAACGCCCUCUGACCAGCUGUUGUUGCCAGCCCAGCCUAGCUGCAACAUAAAGAAUGUGGUGGCCGUUGUCUCCAAUCAUAACAGCCAAGCUACCGAGCAGACCGCAAGCAAAGGCAAAGGACAAUCUGACCCUGCUGUUGUCACUUUGAAAGCCACUGAAGAAGUGAUUACUGUAGAGGAUGCUGAAGAGCGUGUUCAAAUGGACGUUCAUCCUCCUAGUCCAAGGAGAAAUCCAGUGGAGAUGGACACCGGUCAUGACAUGGUACCAAAAUUUCUGGAAAUUCAGUCGGAUGCAAGUGUCCGAGCGCCAACCAAUAUUGUACAAGUCAGUCCGAGUGCAUCGGCGGUUAUGGCGCCCCGAUCUGCAACGCCUCCCACUGUUCCGUAUGUAGUGUAUCCGUUGGCUAGCACUGUUGAGGAUGAGGUUAGCGCCAGCAAAGAGGCCAUGAUUCAGGCCCAGCUGAUGAACUCAAAGCUGAAGGAUGCACCCAAUUCAAGAGUGCUUUUGAAAGCUCAUAUCCCAAAAUACUGUGAACUAGAAUCCGAGCAUCUGGCAUUGCAGGAAGAAGUCGAAAGACUCCGUGCAGAACUGGAGAAAGACAAAAGGAAGAACGAGAAGUUGGAGAAGGAGAAAGCUAUCACAGGAGGUAAACUUGCCAUCCCAGGCACCACCAUGCCGUGCCACAAUAACCAAGACAGCCAAAACAAAUACUCCCAGAAGAGCAAAGGCGGACAAGCAAAUACCUCCUUUCAAGAUCACCUCCAUCCCCCCAAAAAAUCAAAACAUAGUACAUAUAACUUAAGGGACAAAACAAGUAAAGGCAUGCUUGAUGAUGAAAUUUUUGAAAUGUACAUGGAGGAUCUUUGGAAGGGCAUAGAUCCGGAAAAGAAGAGUGACUAUGCGUACCUUGAUUCGUUGUGGUUUGAUAUGUACAUCACUGGGAAACAUAAAUCAAAAGUCCUUAAAUGGGGUGCCUUGUUCGACCCAGAGGUACUACAGAACCUGGAGGACAUCCGCAAGGCUAUUCUUUUAUACCAAGAGGUUGGAUCUAAAAGCGUGCCCGAGGAGAGUGGCUUCAUGAUCCGACCUAAGGUGGUUCCCGACAAAGGCUUCUCAUAUCCGCCAAGGUCUGAUGUGACAUCAAGACCAGGCCUCAACUUCCCGUCGCCCGUCUGCCGGGCGAUGAGGCAAUCCAAGGUUCUCGUUACCGCCGCCCCGCCUGGUUUCUCUUCCGCCGGCCCGCCUGGGUUCUCUUCCACGCCCCUCCACGGCCAGGACUUGGUCGGCGGCCUCGGAGGCGACAAGGAUAACGUCGACCAAGUGUCCCAUGGUGAUGUUGCAAAAGGACCUGAUUUGGCUUCUGUGGACUUGUCUGCUGGGGAUCUCCCAACGCCCUCUGACCAGCUGUUGUUGCCAGCCCAGCCUAGCUGCAACAUAAAGAAUGCGGUGGCCGUUGUCUCCAAGGUUGCCACUUCUACAAGUCAUAACAGCCAAGCUAGCGAGCAGACCGCGAGCAAAGGCAGACGCUGCUGUUGUCACUUCGAAAGUCUAAGGCGAAAUCCUGUGGAGAUGGACACCGAUCAUGAGAUGGCACCAAAUUUUCUGGAAAUUCAGUCGGAUGCAAGUGUCCGAGCGCCCACCGAUAUUGUACAACCCAGUCCAAGUGCAUUGGCGGUUACGGCGCCCCGACCUUCAACGCCUCCCACUGUUCCGUAUGUAGUGUAUCCGUUGGCGAGUACUCGAGAGGAUGAGGUUAGCGCCAGCAAAGAGGCCAUGAUUUCAGCCGAGCUGGUGAGCUCCAAACAGAAGGAUGCAACCAAUUCAAGUGAGGUUCUGAAACCUCAUAACCAAAAAUACUGUGAACUGGAAUCCAAGCAUCUGGCAUUGCAGGAAGAAGUCGAAAGUCUCCGUGCAGAACUGGAGAAAGAGAAAAGGAAGAACGAGAAGCUGGAGAAGGAUAAAGCUAUCACGGGAGGUAAACUUGCCAUUCCAGGCACCACCAUGCCGUGCCACAAUAACCAAGGUGAGUGCACAAUCUCUCCUCAUCACGAUGGUGACUCGUGA
rnacentral:rRNA from 1 species